rnacentral:lncRNA from 10 species
GAUUGGGACAGGAGGAGGAGAAGAGGAGAGGAUCAAAAAUGACCAGAACACUUCCAGCUUGACCAAGUGGAAAAUAAUCAGCAGGUGGAGACAUUGGAAAGCUAAACCUACACGUCCCAGACUCCCUUGCAGCUAGAGUUUUGGAUAGAAAUUAGGUCCUACUAGUUAGAAGAAUUAAUGAGACACGGGGUAGGUGAUGGAAAGACAAAGGCCAUUUUCUCUGUACUUUUGGCUAUCUCUGCUGUCAAGGAGGGUUGUGGAGACCUGAGAUUUUUCUGCAGCAUAUUCAGAGUCCAUUAUCUGGCAUCCUAGGUGUCAGUAGUGACAUUUUGAUCCUAACUUCUGGCUGCAGUUCCAGUAGUGAUCGCAGAGGAGUGGCUUCCCCAGAAAGUUACCUGUGUAUUGACCUCUUGGAGGCCCAGGCCAAAGCCCCUCCUACAGUCAUUUCAGCAAUUUUGUGAACACCUAAUUUC